AAUUGAAAAAAAAUUCAAGAAAACGUGAAAUCGCUGAAGUGGAACCGGAGAGAGUUAACAUAACUUGGUAGCUAUAUUCUCUAUAGUCGCUUAGCUGUGGCUUUGGGGGGUGGACGCUACCUGUUGUUGCGCUGACUGCGUUGAUCAUGCUUUCCUAACAAUGUAGUGUUGCCCACAUUGUGGUGUCUUGCUUAUUGGGAGGUUUGUCAUGGUUAACGUCAAGCCUUAUUUUCUAGGGAGUCAGUGUGAAAGUUACCCACCUUUCCCACCCGUCUUGAAACACGGACCGAGGAGUGUAAUUUACACGCGAGUCAGAGGGCGGAGGAAACCUUAUGGCAUAAUGAAAGUAAAGACCGGUUAACCGGUUGACAUGGGAUCCCACUGAACUUCUUCAAAACGGAGCACCGUGGCCCUGUCUUGUCUGCUUGAAGAUGGGCAGCGGUAGAGCGUGUAGGUUGCGACCCGAAAAAUGGUGAACUAUGCUUGAUCAGGAAAAAUACAAAAGAAACUCUGGUGGAAGUCUUAAUCCGUUCUGACGCCCUUACCGAUAUAUAAACUUCAUUAGAGGGCCGACAGACUACUUCUAACGAAUCUUUCCCUGGUUCUUUAAAAAAAAAAGUUGCCCUCGUAUUCUUUCG
rnacentral:rRNA from 1 species